rnacentral:rRNA from 1 species
CAGCCGCCGCGGGAAUACGUAGGUGGCAAGCGUUGUCCGGAAUUAUUGGGCGUAAAGGGCUCGCAGGCGGUUUCUUAAGUCUGAUGUGAAAGCCCCCGGCUCAACCGGGGAGGGUCAUUGGAAACUGGGAAACUUGAGUGCAGAAGAGGAGAGUGGAAUUCCACGUGUAGCGGUGAAAUGCGUAGAGAUGUGGAGGAACACCAGUGGCGAAGGCGACUCUCUGGUCUGUAACUGACGCUGAGGAGCGAAAGCGUGGGGAGCUAACAGGAUUAGAUACCCGAGUAGUCCCUGUCUCUUAUAC